ACCGGAAAACUGCGAAUGGCUCGGUAAAUCAGUUAUAGUUUAUUUGAUAGUGCUCACUACUCGGAUAACCGUAGUAACGCUAGAGCUAAUACGUGCGUAAAUCCCGACUCUAGGAAGGGACGUAUUUAUUAGAUAAAAGGCCGACCGGGUUUCCCGAUCUGCGCUGAAUCAUGGUAACUUCACGGAUUGCAUGGCCUUCGUGCCAGCGACGUGUCAUUCAAGUUUCUGCCCCAUCAUGGUUUCGACUGUAAUGUAUUGGAUUACAGUGCCGAUAACGGGUAGCGGAGGAUUAGGGUUCGAUUCCGGAGAGGGCGCCUGAGAAAUGGCGACCACAUCCAAGGAAGGCAGCAGGCGCGCAAAUUACCCAAUCCCAACUCAGGGAGGUAGUGACAAGAAAUAACAAUGCGGAGCCAUAGGUUCUGCAAUUGGAAUGAGUACAAUUUAAACCACUUAACGAGUACCUAUUGGAGGGCAAGUCUGGUGCCAGCAGCCGCGGUAAUUCCAGCUCCAAUAGCGUAUAUGUAAGUUGUUGCGAUUAAAAAGCCCGUAGCUGAACCUCGGGCAGCCCGGACGGUCCGCCUUACGGUGAGUACUGUCCUGGGCUGCCUUUCUGCUGGGGACCGUAUCCUUGCAUUUACUUGCCGGGAACGGGACCUAGCAAGGUUACUUUGAGUAAAAUAGAGUGUUCAAAGCAAGCAUUCGCUCUGAAUACACUAGCAUGGGAUAACACGACAUGACCGAUGGUCUAUCUUGUUGGCCUGUAGACCCGUUGGUAAUGGCUAAUAGGGACGGUCGGGGGCAUUCGUAUUUCGCUGUCAGAGGUGAAAUUCUUGGAUUUGCGAAAGACGAACUACUGCGAAAGCAUUUGUCAAGGACGCUUUCAUUAGUCAAGGACGAAAGUCGGGGGAUCGAAGACGAUUAGAUACCGUCGUAGUCUCGACCAUAAACGAUGCCAAUUAGGGAUCGGAGGGCGGUUUAUUUAUGCCUCCUCCGGCACCU
rnacentral:rRNA from 1 species